UGAGCCUCCUGGGAAAUGUAGUCUCCCGAUGACGUCAUCAGCAAGCGCCUGGGAAGGGUCCUUCCAGGGUCUCCUGUGCUUUCUCGCCAUUUCCUCUCUGAAUUCCAGGCUCUGUGUCUCUGCUGGGGAUCAUCCACAGGCUGUGCAGUCGGUUUCACGUCCUGGCGAGCUGGAUGAGAGACAGAGAGAAGUCCUGUGGGCUUUGCAGGGCCCUGGAGUGGGGUGGUGCUCCCCACGUGGUGAGUGCAGACCCAGCGGUGCAUCUCAGCGGGCGCCACCCCAUGCAGACGGAACCUGCAGAACAAUGGCGCUGCAUCCUCUGGCUGGGAAAGGGUGAGGAAGACAGCGCGAUGUCAGUGAUCACUCUGCCAGAAGACCCGCGGCGCCGGAGACUGGCGUGUGCUCCUGGAACAGAAGGGGAAGGAGCUGCCUGGACGAGCUGGCCGUGUGUGCUGGCUGUGCAGUGACAGGCUCCCGGGGAGGUGCACUGCGAGGUGUGUGAAACCACAUGCUGGCUCUGGCGCUGAGAGCCCCAGCUGGAGAUGAGCACAUCGACAGCACUGCCCGGUUCCCUGAGGACUCUGCGAAGUGCAGUGCAGGUGGAAGCUGUGUCGGUUUAGUAAGUGAUGUGCCCACAUGGUCAGGUUUGUGCCAGGCUGAAGCCCAGCUUCUAGAGCUCCAUCCAGGACCAUAGCUGCUUGAGCUGCUGGCUGCCAAGGUGCACAUCACCAGGAAGCCAGAAUUGAGCCUAGAUUGAAGUCCAGGCACUUCCAACAUGUGGUGUUGGCACCCAGGUGAAUGGUUUCCAAGCAUUGUAAGAGUUCAAGAAAAAUCUUGUGAGACUCCAAGGAAGGUGAAAUGAUUUUUAUUUAACAUCCAGUUGGGCGCCCAGCUCUUGGAAUGAACAGCAAGUGCAUUGAACAAAGAGGAGUCUGCUCAAUGAAAUGCCCAGUCCAAAGGCUGUGAUGGAUGUAGGGACUGCUGCAAGACCAGACUGUGAGCAUCACAGACAGUGUGAACAGCUG